GUGGAUUAGAUACCCUGGUAGUCCACGCCCUAAACGAUGCCAACUAGGUGUUGGGGGAGGAGACUUCCUUAGUACCGUAGCUAACGCGUGAAGUUGGCCGCCUGGGGAGUACGGUCGCAAGAUUAAAACUCAAAGGAAUUGACGGGGACCCGCACAAGCGGUGGAUGAUGUGGAUUAAUUCGAUGCAACGCGAAAAACCUUACCUACCCUUGACAUGUCCGGAAUCCUGCUGAGAGGUGGGAGUGCUCGAAAGAGAGCCGGAACACAGGUGCUGCACGGCUGUCGUCAAUU
rnacentral:rRNA from 1 species